CUCCACCCCAGUAGGGCAGGGGGGCUUCCUCCCCAGAGGCAGAUCAGGGAAGAGCUGAGCUCCCAGCAGAGCGGGGCAUCUGCCGGAAGGCCCCUGGGCCAG